AGGGAAAUAGCUCAGUGGUAGAGCACAUGCUUAGCAAGCAUGACGUCAUGGGUUCAAUUCCCAGUCCCUU
rnacentral:tRNA from 1 species